GAUGAACGCUGGCGGCGUGCCUAAUACAUGCAAGUCGAGCGAACGGACGAGAAGCUUGCUUCUCUGAUGUUAGCGGCGGACGGGUGAGUAACACGUGGAUAACCUACCUAUAAGACUGGGAUAACUUCGGGAAACCGGAGCUAAUACCGGAUAAUAUUUUGAACCGCAUGGUUCAAAAGUAAAAGACGGUCUUGCUGUCACUUAUAGAUGGAUCCGCGCUGCAUUGCUAGUUGGUAAGGUAACGGCUUACCAAGGCAACGAUGCAUAGCCGACCUGAGAGGGUGAUCGGCCACACUGGAACUGAGACACGGUCCAGACUCCUACGGGAGGCAGCAGUAGGGAAUCUUCCGCAAUGGGCGAAAGCCUGACGGAGCAACGCCGCGUGAGUGAUGAAGGUCUUCGGAUCGUAAAACUCUGUUAUUAGGGAAGAACAUAUGUGUAAGUAACUGUGCACAUCUUGACGGUACCUAAUCAGAAAGCCACGGCUAACUACGUG
rnacentral:rRNA from 1 species